GCAAUAUCCUCUUUUGCUUGAACCCUUGAGUUCUUUAUUACCAGUAUGCAAUAAAUACAUGUUGCUUCCUCUGAGCAGUCUACUGCUUUGUAGGAGUGAAGAAACUGAGACCUAGAAGGGAAAAUUAGUGCCUGGCCGUGCAAAUCACCAGGGCUUUUGGAGGCCUUGUUACACUGUGAAAACAAGGAACAGCAGAACACAGGAGGUAGACACAGGAAAAUAUGAAUGUCAAGAUCAUUCUAAGCAUGUCUAUGAACUGACUGAGUCCAUUUCAAAGGAAAGGUAAUAUAUGGUCUGUGCUAUUUUAUACUGGAAGUGUUAAAUUUAAAGGCAUCUACCAAGUUCCAGGAAGGAUUGUGAGAGGACGUGACUAGGAGGGAAACAUUGAGCCGGAUGCAAAGUAAAUACUUUGAAAAGCAAAUUAAAAUGUAUUAGAAGGUUUUAAUUAUAUAACAUGAUUGAUUUCUUUGUGUCAUUUUCAUAUAUAAUGUAUCUUAUCUUAUUCAUCCCAUUAUUCUUUUAUGCCUACAUAUGCUUCUGUUCCUUCUUCCAUCAACAUCCCUUUUCCCUUUUCUCCUUC
rnacentral:sRNA from 1 species